GACGAACGCUGGCGGCGUGCCUAAUACAUGCAAGUCGAACGAAGUGGCGAACGGGUGAGUAACGCGUAAUCAACCUGCCCUUCAGAGGGGGACAACAGUUGGAAACGACUGCUAAUACCGCAUACUGAAGGAGGGGUUUACGUCUGAUUAGCUAGUUGGAGGGGUAACGGCCCACCAAGGCGAUGAUCAGUAGCCGGGCUGGGAGGUUGAACGGCCACAUUGGGAGGUAAACACGGCCCAGACUCGUACGGGAGGCAGCAGAGGGGAAUCUGCCGCAAGGGACGAAAGGCUGGCGGCGCAACGCCGCGUGGGUGAUGACGGCCUUCGGGUUGUAAAGCUCUGUUAAUCGGGACGCGGUACCGGAAUAGAAAGCCACGGCUAACUACGUGCCAGCAGCCGCGGUAAUAC
rnacentral:rRNA from 1 species